AUUGAACGCUGGCGGAAUGCUUUACACAUGCAAGUCGAACGGUAGAGGGGGCAACCCCUUGAGAGUGGCGAACGGGUGAGUAAUAUAUCGGAACGUGCCCAGUCGUGGGGGAUAACGUAGCGAAAGUUACGCUAAUACCGCAUACGAUCUACGGAUGAAAGCGGGGGACUCGCAAGAGCCUCGCGCGAUUGGAGCGGCCGAUAUCAGAUUAGGUAGUUGGUGGGGUAAAGGCUCACCAAGCCAACGAUCUGUAGCUGGUCUGAGAGGACGACCAGCCACACUGGAACUGAGACACGGUCCAGACUCCUACGGGAGGCAGCAGUGGGGAAUUUUGGACAAUGGACGCAAGUCUGAUCCAGCCAUUCCGCGUGCAGGAUGAAGGCCCUCGGGUUGUAAACUGCUUUUGUACAGAACGAAAAGGCUCUGGUUAAUACCUGGGGCUCAUGACGGUACUGUAAGAAUAAGCACCGGCUAACUACGUG
rnacentral:rRNA from 1 species